AGAACUUCAAGAACAACGAUUGAAAAUUUCAAGCUCUAUAAAUUAAUUACAGUACUUCCUUUUUAUUAUAUCUUCAAUCAUUUAGUUACAAUAUUAAAAUUAAAUAACUAUUGUUUUUCCAACUCAACAUACAAAAUCAAAAAAAUGUCGAAAAUAAUUUUAUUAUUAUCAAUUUUCGUAUUGAUUGGUCUCUACGCUGGUGCAGAGGCAGCAUGUCCAGGCGGUUGGUGUCAUCCAUCCCAAGGUUAUGGUUGUUGUGAAGGAAAUGUGUGCAGUUCGUAUUUUUUCCAAGGUGAAUGCAUAACUGAGAAGGAGCUCGCAAAAUCAAUGCCUCUAGGAAAAUAAUUAUAACAAUACAGUAAAAAUUUAAAGACGUAUUUUUCCGAUCAAUAAAACUCUCAAUACACACAC